GGCUUCACUCACCAUUUUAAUGACUGCCAACAAAUCCAAGGGAUCCGACUGGACACGGACAGGACCGGGAAGAGGGGCUGGAUGCAGACAGGGAUCGGCGGGCGGGGAAAUGUGGCAUUUGGCACCACCCGGACAAAGGAAAGGCAGGCUCAGGAAAACCAGGGCUGGGAGGGCCUUGGGAAAGGCAGGACGGGACCAUCCCCCCUCCCCAUCCCCAAAAACGCCCAGGAAUCCACGGCUCAGGAGCUCGGGAGCCGCAGUUCUCCCCUCGGCUCCGGCUGGGAAUGCCAAGCUGGGGCUAACACGGAAUACCCCCUCCCGGUAGCCCAACCCUCCUCCUCCUGCCCCAAGCUGGGCAUAACACCGGGAAUAACCCCCCCCUGGAGCCCAACCCUCCUCCUCCUGCCCCAGGAGCCUCUCCCAGCCCGGGGGAGGGGGACGGGAAUGAGUCACAUGGGGAAAAGCUCCCGGGAUCCUUCAGGAGCUGCAGGAACAGGAACUCCUGGAAUUCCUGCCGGGAGGGACGCGUCCCGCAGGAUCUCCACGUGCACAGUUGAGUGAGAGUUGUGUGGUUUUUAUUAUUCUCUUUUUUUUUUUUUAUUAUUUUAAUUAUUUUGAACCCGAGGCUGAGAGGAACAAAGGGGAGGGAAGGGACAGUUUCCUGCCUGGAAUAAAAACACCCAAAAUAACCUUAAAAAUGGAAUAACGGGGGCUGGUAACGAAGGAAGAGGGAGCUACAGAGCCAAGGGCUGGAAUGAGGCUGGAAUUCAGCUGGAAUAAGACUGGAAUUGGGCUGCAAUCUGCUUGGAAUUGGGCUGCAAUCCAGCUGGAAUCCAAGGGCUGGAUUGGUUGGGAAUGGUUGGGAUGGUUGGAAUCCCACUAGAAUCAGGCUGGAAUCCCACUGGAAUCCCGCUGGAAUCAGGUUGGAAUUGGGCUGGAAUCCCAUUGGAAUCCAAGGGCUGGAAUCUGGUUGGAAUCCCACUGGAAUCAGGAUGGAAUCCACCUGGAAUCCAAGGGCUGGAAUCUACGUGGAAUCUGGUCAGAAUCAGGCUGCAAUCUGCUUGGAAUCUUACUGGAAUCCUGCUGGAAUCCAAGGGCUGGAAGCUGGUUGGAAUCCCACUGGAAUCAGGCUGGAAUCCAAGGGCUGGAAUCAGGCUGGAGUCUGGCUGGAAUCCCACUGGAAUCAGGCUGGUAUCCCACUGGAAUCCCACUGGAAUCAGGCUGGAAUUGGGCUGGAAUCCAAGGGCUGGAAUUGGGCUGGAGUCUGGCUGGACUCCCACUGGAAUCAGGCUGGUAUCCCACUGGAAUCCCAGGGCUGGAAUCUCAGUGGAAUCAGGCUGGAAUUGGGCUGCAAUCCGCUUGGAAUCCCACUGGAAUCCCGCUGGAAUCCACGGAGAUCUCUCCAUCCAGCGACGCCGGGAGGCUCCACCCCCAUUCCCUGAUCUCCACCCCCACUCCCAAACCCCCCAUUCCCCAAAUCCACGUCCCCUCCAACACGAGGUCCCCAGGAAGGAAGGUUGUUGUGCCGGAGCCUCCCGGCGUUCCCGCGGCUCCGCGGCCGUUCCCGGCACAUUCCCGGCGCAUUCCCGGCGCAUUCCCGGGGCGUUCCCGGGGGUCCCUCAGUAGAGGCCGCACUCCUUGAGGUUGUUCUUGAUGAUGACGUCGGUGACGGCGUCGAACACGAACUGCACGUUGCGCGUGUCGGUGGCGCAGGUGAAG
ensembl:lncRNA